rnacentral:rRNA from 1 species
GACGUAGGGCGCGAGCGUUGUCCGGAUUUAUUGGGCGUAAAGAGCUCGUAGGCGGUUUGCCGCGUCGUCCGUGAAAACUCACAGCUUAACUGUGAGCUUGCGGUCGAUACGGGCAGGCUAGAGUUCGGUAGGGGAGACUGGAAUUCCUGGUGUAGCGGUGAAAUGCGCAGAUAUCAGGAGGAACACCGGUGGCGAAGGCGGGUCUCUGGGCCGAUACUGACGCUGAGGAGCGAAAGCGUGGGGAGCGAACAGG